GGAGAGAUGCGAGAGUGGUUGAAUCGGGCGGUCUCGAAAACCGUUGUGCCCGAAGGGCACCGAGGGUUCGAAUCCCUCUCUCUCCG
rnacentral:tRNA from 1 species